rnacentral:rRNA from 1 species
UACGGAGGGGGCUAGCGUUGUUCGGAAUUACUGGGCGUAAAGCGCGCGUAGGCGGCUUUGCAAGUUAGAGGUGAAAGCCCGAAGCUCAACUUCGGAAUUGCCUUUAAAACUGCAGAGCUAGAAUUGUGGAGAGGUGAGUGGAAUUCCGAGUGUAGAGGUGAAAUUCGUAGAUAUUCGGAAGAACACCAGUGGCGAAGGCGACUCACUGGACACAUAUUGACGCUGAGGUGCGAAAGCGUGGGGAGCAAACAGG